rnacentral:rRNA from 1 species
UACGAAGGGGACUAGCGUUGUUCGGAAUCACUAGGCGUAAAGCGCACGUAGGCGGAUUUGUAAGUCAGGGGUGAAAUCCCGGGGCUCAACCUCGGAACUGCCUUUGAUACUGCGAAUCUCGAGUCCGAUAGAGGUGGGUGGAAUUCCUAGUGUAGAGGUGAAAUUCGUAGAUAUUAGGAAGAACACCGGUGGCGAAGGCGGCCCACUGGAUCGGUACUGACGCUGAGGUGCGAAAGCGUGGGGAGCAAACAGG